rnacentral:rRNA from 1 species
GACGAACGCUGGCGGCGUGCUUAACACAUGCAAGUCGAACGGAAAGGCCCUGCUUUUGUGGGGUGCUCGAGUGGCGAACGGGUGAGUAACACGUGAGUAACCUGCCCUUGACUUUGGGAUAACUUCAGGAAACUGGGGCUAAUACCGGAUAGGAGCUCCUGCUGCAUGGUGGGGGUUGGAAAGUUUCGGCGGUUGGGGAUGGACUCGCGGCUUAUCAGCUUGUUGGUGGGGUAGUGGCUUACCAAGGCUUUGACGGGUAGCCGGCCUGAGAGGGUGACCGGCCACAUGGGAACGAGGAUACGGCCCAGACUCCUACGGGAGGAAGCGGUGGGAAUAUUGCACAAUGGGCGGAAGCCUGAUGCAGCAACGCCGCGUGCGGGAUGACGGCCUUCGGGUUGUAAACCGCUUUCGCCUGUGACGAAGCGUGAGUGACGGUAAUGGGUAAAGAAGCACCGGCUAACUACGUG